rnacentral:lncRNA from 1 species
UUUUUUUAAAAAAGUUUGUUUAUAACUUUGUUUCUCAUCUAGUAUUAUAUAUAUAUAAAAACGUAGGGUAGCAUUAAAAAAAAAAAAAAAAAAAAAGAAAAGGGAUCUCAUACAGAUCCACGUAUUAAAAAAAAAAAAAACCCUAAAUCUAUCGCCAGAACAGGAGCCGUCGCCCCCUCAGAAAAAUAACCUCACCCUCGUUUCUCUUUCCUCUACCAGACCAACCUCCAUCGUUUCCCUUCUCCUUCUCCAUUGAUUCCAGCCGCCAACCCUAAAAACAUAAACAGCACAGAACAGAUCCACCAUCUUCCCUCUCUGUUACCGAUCCCAAAGACCAGCCACACACUGUCCCUUUCCCUGUGUAGCAGCAUCUCCUUCCCCCAUCAGCAGCGUCUUCUUCUCCCUCGGAAGACUACCAACAGCAACGGAGAAGCAGCACCCGCAGACCCAGCAACCAAUUUCCUUCACCACCAGCCGCAGCAGUGCCGCCCCCCUUUUCCCAGCAGGGGUGCCCUUGUCUUGAGUAAUUUUUAUUUAUGUUCCUCCAUUGUCUUAUUGUAUUAUUUCACCACCAGCCGCAGCAAAAAUCUCUUCCAUUUAAGUUCUCUGUGCUUCUAUUCAUUCAUUUUUUUUUCCUCAGUAUAUUUUCUAAACCAUUUUUCUCUCUCAAGUUUCAGUAUGAUUUCAGAUUGGUUAAGCAAAAUAGUACUUAUAAAGAACUUGAAGAACCGCUUUUAAUUUAAGGUGAACUAUAUUUAUAAUUUUUUUUACUAUUUUUAUUUUUUAUUGCUUGAUUCAAACAGCAUAUUUGUUAUUUAUUUAUUAAAAUUAUGAGAAAAACGUUUACUGGAAAGUUUAAUCUCUUCCAUGAAUUUUAUGCUAUCAUUUUAGUUAUUUAUUUUCCCUCAUUAUUAUUUCUAAACCAUUCUUUUCUUUUAGAUUUUUUUGUUCUUUCCUGUUUGCUUAAGUAAACCCGUAACUAUACAUGUGACUAUACACACUUGAAGAACCUCCAUGUAAACUAUAUUUUUUUUCCAUUUUGUUUUUAAUUACUUGAUUCUUUCAAGCAGCGGUGAUUUUUUAAUAUUUUUUAAUUAAGUUUUUUUAUAAUAAGAAAUCAUUAUUCA